UGUGUGUGUGUGUGUGUGUGUGUGUGUGUGUGUGCGUGCGUGCGUGCGUGCGUGCGUGCGUGCGUGCGUGUGUGUGUGAGGGCGGGCGAUGUGGAGAAGGUUGAGGGGGUGAGUAUGAUGUCAUUCAGAGUGUGUAAGACUGUUUGUGUCUUAAAAUGGCACCCUUUUCCUCUAAAAUAGUGCACAGGCUGCCAUUUGAGACACGGGCUAACUGUAGGAACAAAGCAGAUAGAAAUUCACUGUCCAGAACGGGCAGAACUCUCCAUUGUUUCUGAUCUGCUCAUUGUAUUUGUAUCUGCUGUCAGUGAACUCCCCCAGGUCAUCCAAGCAAUAUUGCCAGCCAAUCACAUGGUUGCAUGGGAAUCAGACUGUGAGCGGGACAUAAAUCAUUAAAGAAAAAGUAGUAAAUAAA